AAUCGAAGAGGCACCGUCCUCCGAAUCUCGAGAGCCAGACUCCCAACAUGACUACUUUCUUAAAAAUCGAAGAGAGGGUAAAGGAACAGUACCAUUGCUGGAUAAUUGGAAAGUCCCUGUGUGUCAACCUCUGUGCUUCGUGGCAAGGUAGACUAGCAAACAUGCCCAACCUUUACUCACAUUCGAGAAAACACUCCCAACAAGAUUGCUUGCUCCAAAAUCGAAGAGGCACCGCCCUCCGAAUCUCGAGAGCCAGACUCCCAACAUGAUUACUUUCUAAAAAAUCGAAGAGACACGGCUCCCCGAAUCUUCGAGAGCCAGACCCCCAGCGUGACUGC
rnacentral:lncRNA from 1 species